UAGGAUCUGACAUCUUCCUCACAAUCCUCUGAGCCAAUUUGCGUGGAGAGAGCGGAGAUGAUCUGGCUAACUGUAGCACAUGCCAUUGACGGCAGAUGAAGGACAUUGGUGUAUAUAUGCUGCCGGCACUUGAUGAGAGAGGAGAGGCAACGGAGUAAAAAGAUGUAAUUUACAUUUGGAAAAUGGAUUCCAGCUAUAUAUGAAUUUUUUAUCUUUGUUUCACGCGAUCUUCUAUGUGAACUGGAUAUAUGAGAAACCGUAAAUCAGAAUGUAAUUACUUUUUUGGCUCAUUUUAUGGAGUAUCUAUGCAGUGGCUCUUCCAUUCUAAUGGUGAAAACGAGUAAAAUGGUUUUCCAAUCAUAGUUACAUGGUACAAAAUGCAUACAUGCCAGCGUAGAUGUACAAAAUAAUAUUCACUUAUCAUUAUUUGACUAGAACAGUGCCCGUGCGUUGCAUCGGGAUAUAAAUAUUCUAGUAUGUUAGGUUGUGAUUUAGCUACAAAUAAUAAUGCGAUUGUGUAAAUAAAUGUUUAUCAAAUUCUACCUGUGAAUUAUCUUAUAUUUUGAUUAAAAGUCUGAUAAGUAAAUUAAAAUAGAAUUAGUUUAGAAGGUAAGUAAAUUAAGGUGAUUGAUUAUUAUAUACAUGAAAGGUUGGACGAAGGAUGAUGGGAAGAAAGGUGAAAUGAAAACCUUACGUUUUUUUAUGUAGUAGAGAUUUGGUCAGAGGCGAUACACCCUGAUAAUUUUGUUUGCUUACUCAUGCAUGAAGUAGUAGCUUUGAUUUGCUAUGGUUCAAUGCUUGUGUAGUUCGUGCUCACAUUUCUUUUAAAAUUGCUGGUUUAAUGCCGGAUCACAUACUUUCAAAAUGAAUGUAAUUACGUUUUUGUUCUUUACGGAGUAUGUAGUGGCUCUUUCAUUCUAAGGCCCCUGUUCAGCAGCCUAUUUUUGGAUUAAAAAAUCAAGGUAAAAUACAGGCCUGUAAAAUGGUUCAUUUCAGGCCCCGCUUGGAAUGGGGCUUGCUCUCGGUCCGUGUGCUGGAGGCAGAGCUCCUCCACCUCUUCGAAGGCGAGUGGGAUUGGCAAGUUACUCCGGUGGGCGCGUACAGUUUCUUGGUGGUGUUUCCAACAAGGCGAUGCUGCGGAUGGCGACGCGGAGUGGCAAGCUCUUCCUCUCCCUCAACAACAUCAUGGCAGACAUUCGGGGGUCGCGCGAGGAGGAGCCCAAGGCCAUGUUCAUGCCGGAAGUUUGGGUGAAGCUGGGGGGCGUGCCUCCCAAGCAGCGGCGGGUGGGUCGGCUCAUGGCGGCCACCACCAUGAUUGGCCGCCCAAUCGAGGCCGACGAGCUCUCUCUGUCUCGGGCGGGCUCUGUGCGGUUGCAGUUUGCUUACCGCUCUCACGCCAAGCUGCGCGGCCGUGUCGAGCUGUGGUUCAGCGGGGAGGGGUACGACAUCAAGCUUGAGCCCGAGCUCGCUCCUCCGGGCCAUGGCGCGGCCCCUCCCCCCCACCCCAACGGCAAGGGCCCUGGCGACAAGGACGCGACCCAGGACCAGGAUGAGAGCAUGGGUGAUGACUCCAUCGACACGACGGCGUGGGACAAGCUGGGCCUCCACAACAAGAUUCUGGACAAGGCGGCGGGCUCUCCCAAGGCGGGGGCACGGCGGCGGCCGCGGCGCUUGCUCCGUCUGGCGUCUCCCUGACCCUGGAUCAGUAUGGCUCCAACAUGCUCCUGGAUGUGGAGGCGGACAAGGGCGCGACGGCCUCGUGCGACUCGGGCCAUCUCUCGUCCUUGCUCAUGGGCGUGCUCUCCCCGUGAGCGGCUGCUGGGGGCUCGGGAUUGGGUUCUGACAUGUGGUCAUCCCCUCCCUCUGGUGGCUUGAGCAAGAGCGGCUCGGUGCGGCAGGCGAAGAAGCCGUCGGGUCGCAAUGCGGCCGUGGCGUUGAUCCCCGGCUAUGGAGAGCCUCGGCGCUUCGGCCACGCCUAAGCAGGUGGUCAUGGCGCUGGCCUCCCCGACAACGACGGCAGGGGGCGGGCUGGUGGCUGCUCCUGUUGGCCCAGUUGCUGAUCUGCUGGCGGAGGCCGUGGUGCCUACAAUCUCCAAGGCCAGGCAUUCCAAGGCGGUGGCCGCUGCUUCGACCCUGACGCGCACACGUGGCCAUCCCAAGGGUGCCAAGGGCAACCUCCCCUCGCUCCAGCGCGCUCAACUCCUGCAAGCUGAGAACAACAUGGAGAUUGAAGGUAAUCCCCCCCUCGCUUUACGAUCCUUGAAUCCUUUUAGGAUGACCACUUGUGCGAGAUUUUGGGGGAUAGCGGGGUAGAUCUUGCUAAUGCGGGUGAGGCUCGAGAGUUGAUUGCCCUCAUUUGUUCGAAAGAGCUUGCGCACGUAGCUUUAGCUCAAGCUGCGGCUGCGCGUGCAGCCGCUCCGGUAGGGGAUGUGGGGGCAUCCUCGACCGUGGCUGUACAACCCGAUCAAGGAGUGGUGGUAGCAGGGGCUGCUACCAACUCCCCUCAUCGUCAACAGGCGAAGACGAGGCGCGUGGCUAAAGCGGUGACCUCUCGAGGGAUCCGUCUCCGCAACCGUAAAAUCUAAAUGCGGUUCCUCUUUCAGAAUAUCCGUGGCUUCGGCCACGCUGGGAGGCGGACCCAGCUCAAAGAAUAUAUGCGCAAUGAGGGCAUUGACGCGGUAGGCAUCCAGGAAACCAUUAAGGCCGAGUUCCAUCACCACGAACUGCUGGCUAUAGAUCCCCUCAAACGAUUCGCGUGGAAGUGGGUCCCGGCCCGGGGCCAUUCAGGCGGCAUGUUGCUGGGUCUUAAUAUCAAAUGCUUUGAGGUGUUGUCCUGGGGGGCAGACACUUUCUUUAUCUCUGCUCACGUCCGGCAUUGGGCGUUGCUUCGCGAGUGGGUGGUGAUCGUGGUUUACAGCCCGGUCGACCAUUCGCGAUCCCUUGAGUCCCUGGAUGAGAUCCAGGCUAUAGUGGGAAACGCGGUCUCCCUCAACCUACCUCUGGUGGUGGGGGGUGAUUUUAACUUGAUCCGCUCGGAAGCGUAUAAGAACAACGCGAAUAUUAACUGGACAAGGGUCUCCUUGUUUAAUAACGCUAUCGCGGCUAUGGCUCUUAGGGAAAUGCCCAGAUCCGGUGCUCGGUUCACGUGGACGAACAAACAGAUGUCGUCAGUCCGAUCUGUUCUGGACCGGGUUUUCGUUACGUCUGACUGGGAGGUCUUGUUCCCCAUGUGCUCGUUUGUGGCUGAGACCCGUAUUGGGUCCGACCACAUCCCUCUGGUCCUGUCUACGGGGGAGGACAGGCUGAGGCGUAGCCCAUGUUUCUUCUUUGAAAUGGCCUGGUUUGAAAUUCCGGAUUUUGACCAGGUGUUUAGGCAGAAGUGGGAUGCUUGCCUUCAAAGGCUGGGCCCCCAGCGGGGGCCCAUGGAGUUCUGGGUCGCGAUGGGGGCGGGCCUCCGCGCAUCCCUUAAAGGCUGGGGGGCCAACCAAGGGCGGGACGACAAACUGCAGAGGGCACGUUUAGUCCAGGAGCUCAUUGUUAUUGACGCGCAGGCCGACUCACGUCCGUUUUUCGCGCAGGAGUGUGCGCAUCGCUACAACCUGGAGGGCCAGGUGGAGGCUCUCCUUCGGAGCGAGGAAGAGUACUGGCGUAGGAGAGGGGGGCUCAAGUGGACCCCGAAAGGGGAUGCGAACACUAAAUAUUUCCACGCCUACGCGAACGGCCGUCGCCGCAAAUGUGCCAUCCUUCGGUUGCAAUCGGAGCAGGGGCUCCUGUUGCGUCAAGUGGACAUCACACGCCACGUGUAUGAUUUCUACAUUCAACUGAUGGGCGCAUGCGAGCCUCCCUUAGCGCGCAUUCGCAGGGAUCUGUGGGAUCCUUCGUGUAAGGUGUCUGACACCGAAAAUGAAGAGCUGAGCCUGGCAUUCACCCCUCAGGAAAUCGACUCAGCCAUCCUCGACAUGAAGACGGAUACGGCCCCGGGUCCCGAUGGAUGGCCGGUGGCUAUGUUCAAACGCUUCUGGCCCUUACUUAAGGGUCCGAUUUUCGCGAUUUGCGACGGUUUCAUGCGUGGGGAAGUUGAUAUCUCUCGCCUGAACUUUGGGAUUCUCUCGCUAAUCCUGAAAGUUCAGGGAGCGUAUAACAUUAGGCAAUUUAGACCCAUUGCGCUGAUAAACGUCUCGUUUAAAAUUUGCUCCAAAGCAUGUUCCACGCGAUUAACCCCAGUUUCUCACCAUAUCAUUAGUAGACACCAAUCAACGUUCAUUCGUGGUCGUAACAUUCUGGAGGGGCCCCUUGCUCUCCUUGAGAUAGUUCAUGAACUCAAACGCACGCGGCAGCUGCCAGCGAUUCUUUUGAAACUUGACUUUGAAAAAGCAUACGACCGUGUUAACUGGGACUUCCUUAGACAGGUCCUCUUGGGAAGAGGAUUCUCGUCGAUGUGGGUCCACCGCAUGAUGCAAUUGGUCUCGGGGGGCCAAGCGGUAAUUGUGGUCAACAGAGAAGUCGAGCACUUCUUCCGCAACAAGCAGGGACUGCGUCAGGGCGACCCAGCUUCCCCGCUCUUGUUUAACUUCGUGGCAGAUGCCCUCGCAGGAAUGUUAGACAGAGCUCGAGCGGCAGGCCAUCUAAGGGGGGUGGUUAACCACUUGUUCCUUGGAGGGGUUUCCCACCUACAGUAUGCAGAUGAUACACUGCUGCUGUUUGAGCCGGACAGACAUAGCAUAGAUACGGUCAAAGCUAUCUUGUUGAGCUUCGAGCUCAUGUCCAGCCUAAAAAUCAACUUCCAAAAAUGCGAAGUGGUUUCCAUGGGGAUGGAGACCGCCGAGGUUCAGGAAGUGGUAGAUCUGCUCAAUUGCAAAAUGGGCUCUCUCCCAUUCCAAUACCUUGGGCUACCGAUUGGGGCUAGAGCUCCUACCAUCCAGGACUAGGCCCCCCUUUGCACCACGGUAGCGGGCCAGGUUAGCCCAUGGAGAGGUAAAUUUAUGUCGUCGGGAGCACGACUCAUCCUUACCAACUCCAGCCUCUCUUCAUUGCCCAUGUUCACUAUGUGCCUCUUUCUUUUGGCUGACGGUGUGCAUACCAAGCUAGACACGCGUCGUCCCGGUUCUUUUGGGAGGGAGCCGGCACUAAACGCAAGUAUCAUUUGGUCAAAUGGACAGCCGUAUGCCGCCCCAAGUCCCAGGGGGUCUUGGAGUUAUGAAUUCCAAACUGAUGAACGUGGCGCAAAUGUGCAAGUGGAUCUGGAGACUGUCUCAAGGGGAGACAGGGCUCUGGCUUGAUUUUCUCAGGGCCAAAUACUUCCCGUCCGACAACUUCUUCGCGUCCACGGGGAGCGGCUUUCUUUUCUGGAACUCUAUUCAAGCGCUCAGACCUAUCUUUGCCAUGGGGGCGAAGUUUUCGGUCAAGGGCGGGCGCUCGACGCGUUUCUGGUUGGACCUUUGGAUUGGUGACCAACCCCUCUGGUCCAGAUUCAGAGACCUCUACAACAUAGCUCUUGAACCCAAUUUCUUUGUGGCUCAAGCUAUGGGCGUGUCCCCGCCAGGGUUGCUGUUCCGUCUUGAGCUCACCGGUUCGGAGACAACAAGUUUGGGAAACUUGUUGACUCUUGUUGGGGAGGUAACAAUAUCCCAGGGUCCAGAUAUCGUGUCCUAGCACCUCAACGCCUCCGAAAAAUUCUUGGUUAAUUCCCUCUACCGAGCAUUUGCUCAGGGACCUUAUCAACAGGUGGCGUCCGGGUUGUGGAAGGCUCGGAUGCCCCUCAAGAUUAAGGUGUUUUUGUGGCAGCUGUGUCGUGAUAGACUCCCCACGUCCGUCAACAUAGCCAAGUGCAACGAGCCGGCCAACGGGCCCUGUGUGGUUUGCGGGGCGCCAGAGACCGCCAACCAUGUCUUCUUCAACUGCCACCUGGCCCGUUUUGCGUGGAGUACGGUCCGCGAGGCUGCUGGUCGGGAUUGGGAUCCCCGGUCCAGUUCUGAGCUGAGUGCUCUUCUUUCGUCGGUUAGCAGGAGUGCUAGGCGUGUCAUGUGGUGCUGCGUUGGGGCUUUUUUAUGGGCUCUGUGGCAUGUUAGGAACAAGCUAACAAUUUAGGGUUCCUUCCCGUCUCAUCCUGCUGAAGUGAUAUUCAAAUGUGUCAUCUUUUUGCAGCAGUGGGUGCCGCUGGGAAGGAACCAAGACGCUGAUCUUCUGCAGCUCGCCCUUGCCCGUCUCCGACAAGUCUAUGUUUUGGCAAGAGCUCCUGCGCCGCCUCCCUAGGGUCGCGAGGCAUCUUUUGGCAACAACUUCGCGAGCCUGUGUGCUCUGAUUCAGCCGGCUGUGGCCUGUAAUCCUAGACUAUUCCCCUCCAUUCGCUCGAUCUUUUGAGGGUGUUUGUUGCGUUGUAAAACUCUGGUUUCGCGUACGCUGCCUGUUGUGGGUUUUAUUAAGUUAAAACCUGACGCUUCUGACGUCUUCAUUCUAAUUCUUUUAUUUUACAUAUGUAAGUUACAGGUCAACACUCAAUAUUAGCCUGGAAUGAAAACAGCCAAAGGAGGUCGAUACAGGCCAGAAAACGAGCGGAAACGCUAAUCAAAACGGGGCCUCAAUUAUAAUAUAAACUUGUAUGGAACAUCAGUAUUUGGCCGUCUAAAACCGAUUGUUCACAGUUUACAUGCGGGAGUAAAUAACUUGGGAAGUAAGAGUACACAUGUGUGCGUUCACCAAAGCCUUUCGAAAUCUAGUUUCAAAGAUAUUGAUGCAAGAAACAAAAUGAUUCUUCAGUUGGACUACUUGGUUCAAAAGAUAAGUUCAUAAUUGGCUAACCCAAAUGAUAAGUGCCAAACGUGUGGCACGAAGCACUCUGGCCCUGACGUUUUUUACAACUAAAAUUGCCAUCCAAAAAUAAAAAAACAAACCUAAAACAAAUUGAAACUUACCAUCCGAAAAAAAGUUGCCAUGCUUGACCACUAAAGUUGCCAUCCUCGCAUCACUAAACUUACUAUAAAAAAACGUUUGAAAUUGCCAUGUAUUCGUGCCACACGUGUGACACUUAUCAGGGUCCUUGGCUAAACAAUCAUUUGGUCAUGCCAUUUUAGGCUUCAGCUCGAAAUUUUCUUUUCCUAGAAACAAAGUAAAAUAGAGACGAGCGUAUUUUUUCCACUUACAAGGGGACGAGGGAAAGGUCUUCCUCCCCUCGAUCUCGGCCUGCGAGCUCGUGGAUUUUCCUUCCCUCUCUCCGCUGCUCCGGAGGUCGGUGACAGGAAGGGAGUCUUGGUGCCUCGGCUCUGACUAGUACUUAGGUUAGGAUUUUAGUCCUUGUAGGGAAGACACUUCUUCUUCGAGUUAGCCUUUCGGGCCCAGUACUCCUCAAGUUCGUCCAUCGAGAUGGAUAGGACAGAGCUCCAGCGUAGAUUCCAACCAGCUCCUUGGGGUGGUGAGGUUAAGGUUUCUCGUCAUGCGUGCGUGACGACAGAAUUUGGUGUGAGGUUCUUCAUAUCGAUUUAAGGGUUCAAUGGUGACGAUUGCAGCUCCAGGGUGCUGGUCCUUAUGGGCACGUGCACGAAGACUUCCCGACUAUCAUCUACAAGGUCAGGCUAAGUCAUGUAUGGGAACAGUAAAAGCGGCAGUGGUCGUUCGGUGGUCUAAGGACGUUGAUGUAAAUUUUAUUAUAUUUGAGAUGCUUUAUACUUCUGAUGAACUUUUAUAAUAGAUCUAGGUCCUUUCCGCAAAAAAACAAAGUAAAAGCUAUAAUCCAACACCAACACCAUGCUACUAUGCUCGCGUUUCAUGUGUCCAUCUAGAAAGCCCGGUGUCGCAAAAUGAGCGUAGCUCAGAUGACUAGGUUUCUUGUGGUGGAAAAUGCCCAUUAGGGUUCGAGUCUUAGACUUGACACGAGUGUUCGCAUAUUUUCUAGAUUUAUUCCAAUCUUUUCGGCCCUACUCUUUCAGUUGUAUAGCAUGUUUGCCAACUACAAGGCAUCUAUGGUUUCGUCAAUUUUAAAAUCUGUCGGCUCAGUCUCUUAGAGGUGCUCAUACACGUAAGUUGUGUGUGCGUGCACGUAUGUGAGUGUUGUGAGUAUGGUUGAUUUGCCAUUGAUACAUAUUGGCAAUACUAAGACUUGCCAAAUAUUGACAACUUUAUGUGAAAUCGAAGAGACAACUUGAUAACCAACCAAUUAGUGGCCAAUAUUUGACACAAAACCGAACAUCGGCAUUACCAAUUUUUGGCAUCAAAUCAAUCAUGAUAUGUGUUUAAAAAAACCUAGUACCUUCUUCAUUAUUUCUUGGGAACAAAGAGUACAAUAUAAACACGUGUACACACACUACCACCUCACGCACAACAUCUACUAAAUACCAAAGUUUUUCCUAACUUUAACAUGGAAGUAUUGUGUUUCAAAUCGUGUGCCGCUUAGCCCUUCAAAAUAUUAGCUAACUGCCCGUGCGUUGCAAUGGACGCAUGCAUAUUCUAGCUGUUAAACAUCAAUCGUGUCUCAUAUAUACCUUCACCCACUAUCACCACCUCCCCAAUCCAAUCUCACAAUCUAUGUCAAUGUCCCAUCCUUGGUAGUACUCGCAAGAAGAUUUAGUACUAUCAAAUGUUACAAACUAAUGGAUUAGGCAUGACAGCCAGCUGAAUAUUUAACUUCCUUGUAAUGUGGUAAAAUAAAGGCAAGAGUAAUAAGUCUCAAUUUGCAUAACAAAAAAGGGUGUCUAGGGCACAUCUAGAUGUGCUCUAGUUAUUGCACAUCUAAGUGAGUGAAUCAAGAAUAAAGUGGUAAAGAAAAAUGAAAAAGGAAAUAUCCACACGAAUCUCAAUGUAAGAUGAGUGACAUAGAACUUAGAUGUGCAAUACUUAUAGCACAUCUAGAUGUGCUUUAGCAAAACUGAAUAAAAAAAGAUUAGUUUUCAUAUUAUUGCAAGAUCUUACGAAUUCGGAAUAGGCAUGGGUGAAAAAACAACAGGCGAAAUAUAUAAAGGCAAGAGUACUAAGUUUAAUUUGCAUAACCAAAAUAAAAUUAGUUUUCAUUUCAUUGCAAGAUCUUACAAAUUCGGGCUAGGUACAAGUGAAAAAACAACAGGCAAAAUAAAGGGAGGGAAUGAGUAGGACAUGGAAAGAAAAGUACCGAUUUGGUUUAGUUUAUUUCAGGUUAGUCUAUGUAUGUACAUUAAAAAACAAAGUAUGUACAUUUUUUUACGAAAUGAGUAGGACAAAAAAAAAA
rnacentral:lncRNA from 1 species